GUUUAGUCCUAGCCUUAUCACCAACUAUUACUCAAUUUACACAUGCAAGUAUCUGCACCCCCGUGAGAACGCCCUCCCCCCUCCCACAGGACGAGGAGCCGGUAUCAGGCACAUUACCUUGCCCAUUACACCUAGCCACGCCACACCCCCAAGGGUAUUCAGCAGUGAUAAAUAUUAUUUAUUAGCGCCAGCUUGACUUAGUUAGAGUAACCAGGGCCGGCCAAUUCGGUGCCAGCCGCCGCGGCUACCCCGCUUGGCUCAAGUUGACAUUAUCGGCGUUAAGCGUGAUUAAAGUAUUGCUACUGACUAGAAUCAAACUUCAACUAAGUUGUAACACACUUGUUUUUAAAGAAGCCCUUAAACGAAAGUUAUUCUAACCCCCACUUGAAUCCACGACAGCUGGGACACAAACUGGGAUUAGGUACCCCACUAUGCCCAGCCGUAAAAUUUACUUACAUUUUUAAGCCGCCCGGGAACUACGAGACCAAUCUUAAAACCCAAAGGAUUUGACGGUGUCCCACCCACCUAGAGGAGCCUGUUUUUUAAUCGACACCCCCCGAUAUACCUCACCACUUCUAGCCUCUUCAGUCUGUAUACCUCCGUCGCAAGCUUACCAUGUGAACGCAUCAGUGAGCCAGAAGGCUUAUCGCCAACACGUCAGGUCAAGGUGCAGCUCACGAAAUGGCAAACAAUGGGCUACAAUUUCUAUUAUAGAACACACGAAAAACUGCAUGCAACACAGUCAUGAAGGUGGAUUUAGUAGUAAAAAGAAAAUAGAGAAUUCUUUUUAAUCAAGGCGCUGGGACGCGUACAUACCGCCCGUCACCCUCUUCGAGCUGCCCGCAAGAAGAGACAAGUCGUAACAUGGUAAGUGUACUGGAAAGUGCACUUGGACUAACAGGAUAUAGCUUAAUCAAAGCAUCCCGCUUACACCGAGAUAGAUGUCUGUAAAUAGACUACCCUGAGCCUAAAUUCUAGCCCUACAAUUCCCUCAACUUUGCUUCAUAAGAUAAAACAUUUUUCCCAUUAAGUAACGGCGAUUAAAAAAUGAUUAGGCGCUAUAAAAAUAGUACCGCAAGGGAAACAUGAAAUAAAAUGAAAGACCAAAAGCAUACAACAGCAAAGUUUUAUCCUUGUACCUUUUGCAUCAUGGUCUAGUUAGUUCAACCAAGCAAAACGCACUUAUAGUUUGUCUUCCCGAAACUAAGCGAGCUACUCCAAAGCAGCUUCACAGAGCCAACCCGUCCCUGUAGCAAAAGGGUGGAAAGACUUUAGAGUAGAGGUGACACACCUACCGAGCUUAGAGAUAGCUGGUUAUUCAGAAAAAGGAUUUUAGUCCUCCUUUAAGUUUCCUCAGUUCUAUAAAACACUUACCAAACUUAAAAGUUAUUCAAAUAAGGGACAGCCUAUUUGAAAAAGGGCACAGCCUACAACUUAGGGUAAUGACCCCCCCCCGUGACCAAGUCAGCCUUAAAGCAGCUACCUUUCAAAAAGCGUCCGAGCUUCAUCACAAAAUCUUAUUAAUUCCCCAAUUAAAUCACAACCCCCAACCACUACUGAAUAAUCUCAUAUUAUAUGAGAAAUAUAUUGCUAGAACUAGUAACAAGAAGAAGAGCUUCUCCAAAAUGUACAUGUAAGCCAAAAUGAACACUCACCGGCACUUACCGUUGCAAACCCACAGUAUUAACGCUGCAAGAAAAUUUUACUCCAACUAACGUUAACCUUACACUAGAACAUUUCUGGAAAGAUUAAAAAAGGGGGAAGGAACUCGGCAAACAAUAGCCCCGCCUGUUUACCAAAAACAUCGCCUCUUGACUAAAAUAUGAGAGGUCUAGCCUGCCCAGUGACAAUGUUAAACGGCCGCGGAACCCUAACCGUGCGAAGGUAGCACAAUCACUUGUUCUUUAAAUUAGGACUAGUAUGAACGGCCUCACGAGAGCUAUACUGUCUCCCCCUUUUAAUCAGUAAAACUGAUCUCCUCGUGAAGAAGCGAGGAUACCCCUAUAAGACGAGAAGACCCCAUGGAGCUUUAAACUUGUACCACUGCCUUCCCCACACCAAUUAACCCAGGCAAAUAAUGAUUACAAGUCUUUCGGCUGGGGCGACCACGGAGAAAAACUAAACCUCCACGACGAAAGGAGCAAUCCUAAUUGAAGAGCUACUGCUCAAAGAAUCAACAAAUUGACAUAUUGACCCAAACAUUUUUGAUCAACGAACCAAGUUACCCU
rnacentral:ncRNA from 1 species